rnacentral:rRNA from 1 species
CCUACGGGAGACAGCAGUGAGGAAUAUUGGUCAAUGGACGGAAGUCUGAACCAGCCAUGCCGCGUGCAGGAAGACGGCUCUAUGAGUUGUAAACUGCUUUUGUACAAGGGUAAACCUGAAUACGUGUAUUCAGCUGAGAGUACUGUACGAAUAAGGAUCGGCUAACUCCGUGCCAGCAGCCGAGGUAAUACGGAGGAUCCAAGCGUUAUCCGGAUUUAUUGGGUUUAAAGGGUGCGUAGGCGGAUUGUUAAGUUAGAGGUGAAAUGUCCGAGCUUAACUCGGGAACUGCCUCUAAAACGGUUGGUCUUGAGAAUAGAUGCGGUAGGCGGAAGGUAUGGUGUAGCGGUGAAAUGCUUAGAGAUCAUACAGAACACCGAUUGCGAAGGCAGCUUACCAAUCUAUAUCUGACGUUGAGGCACGAAAGCGUGGGGAGCAAACAGGAUUAGAUACCCUUGUAGUC